rnacentral:rRNA from 1 species
GACGAACGCUGGCGGCGUGCCUAAUACAUGCAAGUAGAACGCACAGUUUAUACCGUAGCUUGCUACACCAUAAACUGUGAGUUGCGAACGGGUGAGUAACGCGUAGGUAACCUGCCUGGUAGCGGGGGAUAACUAUUGGAAACGAUAGCUAAUACCGCAUAAUAUUAAUUAUUGCAUGAUAAUUGAUUGAAAGAUGCAAUUGCAUCACUACCAGAUGGACCUGCGUUGUAUUAGCUAGUAGGUGAGGUAACGGCUCACCUAGGCGACGAUACAUAGCCGACCUGAGAGGGUGAUCGGCCACACUGGGACUGAGACACGGCCCAGACUCCUACGGGAGGCAGCAGUAGGGAAUCUUCGGCAAUGGACGAAAGUCUGACCGAGCAACGCCGCGUGAGUGCAGAAGGUUUUCGGAUCGUAAAGCUCUGUUGUAAGAGAAGAACGGGUGUGAGAGUGGAAAGUUCACACUGUGACGGUAUCUUACCAGAAAGGGACGGCUAACUACGUG